ACGUCCCCCGCUCCUUCUAUCUGUCCUUCCUCACCGUGGGGCCCCCAUGUCCCCCGCAGGGGCUGUGGCGAGCAGAGCAGCUUCCCCAAACCCACAGACCAGCCUCUCCGAAGGCACCCCUGCACCCGGCCCCGGGGAGGGGGUCUCCGCCCCAGGCAGGACGGCCGAGAGGCUGCACAGAGCAGCGGUUUUCCGGGACGGAGGCAGGACGCCACCACGGACACAAACAAGCCUUUAACCCGGUGGUGCGUGUUGUUCGGGGAGCCCUGACCACGGCGACGUCUCGGGAACCGGGUGUGGCGACGAAUGCCGUGGACAGCGCGGGACUCGGCAGCGGGGCUGGGAGAGGCGGCGGGCGUGGGAGGGUCAGGCCUCGGGGUCGGGAGGCCCCCGCCUGUCAGAAGGAGCGGGGGACGUGCCGACCGCGCUCGUUUUAGAACGGAAGAAGGAACAACCGGGAGCGCCUUCACCGGAGGCCGCCUGGGCAGCGAGUUGGAAGAAACUUGAUUCUCAACAAGCCUGAGGCUGUAAUUAAAGCUCGUUAUUACCCCGUGAGGUUUUGCCACUCACGGCGCAAAGAUUUUAAUCCAAUACAGAAACUACAUGAGAUCACCUCUUUCGUGUUGUGGGUGGCAGAGCUUCACGCUGCAGAAAAAGCAAGCAGGCUCUCAACAGGAGAGAGGCUGAUCUGCGAACUAGAUGGCGACUCGUGCGGACAAAGCCAGGUGCGGCUGGCCUGGUGCUUCCGGGACACACAGGCUCCUGCCCCAGCAGAGGCCCCUCCAAGUCCUACGGUGCACCAGCGGGAAUCCCUCUAUGGACUGGCUGUCAUGAGGAACAGCAGAGACCGGGCCUGACUGCCGGAGGGCUUCCUGUAAGCGGAACCCCACAGUACGCACGCCCCGUGCCUGCCGCAGGGAGCGUCUGCCGCGACGCGAAUCCCCGUUCCGGCAGCAGCAGCGGCUUCCUCUGCUCAAGGCUGAGCGCCGUCCCCACGACCUCCACGCGCUUGCGGAUGGACAUCUGGGUGGUUGCCGGUUCCUGGCAAGGCUAACAGUGUUGAACGAGGUUUCCACGUGUUUUACGUUAAGCCCCUAGACGUGGAAUUGCUAGGUCACGGGAUAUCAGUUCCAUUAAUAAACGAGUGCGUUCUCCAGACGGUGCUCCGCUGAGAUCGGUGUGCGGCCCUCCGGCUAGACCCACACCCUCGCCUCCACGGGAAUGGGCGGAUGUUAACUUUCGCCUCCUGGCAG